rnacentral:rRNA from 1 species
AGUGAACGCUGGCGGUAGGCCUAACACAUGCAAGUCGAACGGCAGCACAGUAAGAGCUUGCUCUUACGGGUGGCGAGUGGCGGACGGGUGAGGAAUACAUCGGAAUCUACUUUUUCGUGGGGGAUAACGUAGGGAAACUUACGCUAAUACCGCAUACGACCUACGGGUGAAAGCAGGGGAUCUUCGGACCUUGCGCGAUUGAAUGAGCCGAUGUCGGAUUAGCUAGUUGGCGGGGUAAAGGCCCACCAAGGCGACGAUCCGUAGCUGGUCUGAGAGGAUGAUCAGCCACACUGGAACUGCGACACGGUCCAGACUCCUACGGGAGGCAGCAGUGGGGAAUAUUGGACAAUGGGGGCAAGCCUGAUCCAGCCAUACCGCGUGGGUGAAGAAGGCCUUCGGGUUGUAAAGCCCUUUUGUUGGGAAAGAAAAGCAGCAGGUUAAGACCCCGCUGUUCUGACGGUACCCAAAGAAUAAGCACCGGCUAACUUCGUG